CGCAUAACGCGAAGAACCUUACCAAGGCUUGACAUCCCCUUGACCGGCACAGAGAUGUGCCCUCUCCUUCGGGAGCAAGGGUGACAGGUGGUGCAUGGUUGUCGUCAGCUCGUGUCGUGAGAUGUUGGGUUAAGUCCCGCAACGAGCGCAACCCUUAUCCUUAGUUGCCAGCAUUAACGGUGGGCACUCUAAGGAGACUGCCGAUGAUAAAUCGGAGGAAGGUGGGGAUGACGUCAAAUCAUCAUGCCCCUUAUGUCUUGGGCUACACACGUGCUACAAUGGUCGGUACAACGGGCAGCGAAGGAGCGAUCCGGAGCGAAUCCCAAUAAACCGAUCCCAGUUCGGAUUGUAGGCUGCAACUCGCCUACAUGAAGUCGGAGUUGCUAGUAAUCGCGAAUCAGAACGUCGCGGUGAAUGCGUUCCCGGGUCUUGUACACACCG
rnacentral:rRNA from 1 species